UGAGUUAGGCUCUCAUUGUCCGUCCCUAU
rnacentral:piRNA from 1 species